rnacentral:rRNA from 1 species
GACGAACGCUGGCGGCGUGCUUAACACAUGCAAGUCGUACGGUAAGGCCCUUUCGGGGGUCCACGAGUGGCGAACGGGUGAGUAACACGUGAGUAACCUGCCCACAACUUUGGGAUAACGCUAGGAAACUGGUGCUAAUACUGGAUAUGUGCUCCUGCUGCAUGGUGGGGGUUGGAAAGCUCCGGCGGUUGUGGAUGGACUCGCGGCCUAUCAGCUUGUUGGUGGGGUAGUGGCCUACCAAGGCGGCGACGGGUAGCCGGCCUGAGAGGGUGACCGGCCACAUUGGGACUGAGAUACGGCCCAGACGCCGACGGGAGGCAGCAGUGGGGAAUAUUGCACAAUGGGCGCAAGCCGGAUGCAGCAACGCCGCGUGCGGGAUGACGGCCUUCGGGUUGUAAACCGCUUUCAGCAGGGACGAAGCUUUUUGUGACGGUACCUGCAGAAGAAGCACCGGCUAACUACGUG